rnacentral:rRNA from 1 species
GUGCCAGCAGCCGCGGUAAGACGAACCGUGCAAACGUUGUUCGGAAUCACUGGGCUUAAAGGGCGCGUAGGCGGGCGGACAAGUCCGGGGUGAAAUCCCCCAGCUUAACUGGGGAACUGCCUUGGAUACUGGUCGUCUCGAGGGAGGUAGGGGCAUGCGGAACUUCCGGUGGAGCGGUGAAAUGCGUUGAUAUCGGAAGGAACUCCGGUGGCGAAAGCGGCGUGCUGGACCUCUUCUGACGCUGAGGCGCGAAAGCCAGGGGAGCAAACGGGAUUAGAUACCCUCGUAGUCC